AAAACCACUGACUCAUAGAUGCAGAUAGACAUACAAGUGCACAUACAUCCAGAUGUGCAUUUAGACAUUAAAAGUGUAGAGGCAUGUACACACAGAUUGGCAAACCGGUACAGAGUCUAACUGAAGAGCUUAACAAAGUAGACGUGGCAGUAGGGUUUGUGAUUUUGCCUGAUAUGAUAUUGUGAACCAACUUUGAAUAAUGACAGGAACCUGAGAUGAACACAGUAAGUUAGUAAGGUGUAGCAGAGAAAGGUUGUUUGUUUUCUAUCCCUUACAGGAGAAGAUUUCCACUAGAGAGAGACCCAGAAGAGGAGCGGAGAUUACCUAAGCAUGAAGUGUUUUCAAGUGGGGGCUGGUGUUUUAUUGCUGGACCACCUAGAGGACAUGAGGUUGUCUGAUUUGUUAAGUCACAGGAUGCCAAGAGAGGGUCAGAGCUAAGAACAGUGAUCCUAAAUGUCCAUGAUGUCUGGGAUGGACAGGGGAGCAGUUGAAUGGGCCAAGGAGUGACCCAACACACAGUAUGGUGACCUCUUGUGGUCAAGAGGUCAAGAGUGGGAGUGUCAGGAAUAGAAAUAUUGUCCUGCUAUUAGUUGCUGCUAUUUUUAUAAUCAUCAUUAACAUUUCAGUAUUAAUAGUGAGGUUGCAGUUAGAUGCAUUCAGAUGUUCAAAUAUAUGGUUAUAGCCUUUAUUACAGGUCCAAAGAAGAACCAUUUUAAAUGGUUCUGUUGAAUCUAUAAUUUAAAUGUUAUUAAUGCUUUUAUGAUCUCUGUGUAGAGGGCAGAGACAGGACAAUACUCUCUGUGCCAAAUGAGACAGGAAACAAAGCGCGUCUGCAGAGCAUGUUUUGCAGAAGUGAAACUGAAGCCAGAAGUUUAAGUGCAAGGGUGUUUAGUAUGCAUUUAUUGCGGAUUAAGCCUUAAGCAGUUGUGGUAGAUUGAAACAGUUGUUUAUAUAUUUCACAUAUAAGUCAAGAUCAUUACACACAGGAUGGCCUUAGCCUGGUUGGUUGCUUAAGUUGAGGUCAACUAAGGUUCAGAAAGCAGAUGCAAACUCUGCACGUACACACAGACAAAUAGUGAGAGGUCAUGACACGCACGUAGCAUACACUGCAGACACAUACACACAGAAAUGCAGAAGUGUGCCGACGCACUUAGAGGAAGUGCACCAGACGAGCGACAGCGAAGAGGGGAAGCACCGACCAAGACAAUGUUUUUAGAGCAAUGUUAAAGGUCAGGAACAUUUUGUGGUUUGGAUUGACGUAAGCUGUACUAUUGUCUAUUUUUGUAAAAGAGGGGGCUUUGUUAUUGUACCCAUAUAAAACCUUGUCUCAUGAUUGUAAGUUCAGUUCAACACUGAUUGGGUUGUUGAACUCACACAUGUGUUCA
ensembl:lncRNA